UGAGACAAAGAGGAAAAAAGGAAGCAAUCACACAGACAGGUUGCAGAUGGCAGCACAGAGAGAGCGGAACCUGAGAAAAUUAAAUAUACCACUGUUCACGAAGUCAAGCAGGGUACAGAUACACACACACACACACACACGCCCACCCACACACACACACCCCGCCUGGUUUGGGGCCAAAUUAGGAAGCUAACUUUCUCCUCUGGUGGGCGCGGCGGAGGCUGAUGACUCACUCGCAUUAAUCUUUCUGACGCUGCUCUCCAGCAGCGGCGAAAGAAGCCAACUGGAGCUUUCCCAUAAGAAAGUUCAAGUAAUGCGUUCUGAUUCUCGCCUUACAAAGCCAUUUUUCAGACUAUGUCACUUAUGAGACCAUGAGUAGGUGAUUCAAGGGGGCAGCAGAGAGGAAAAAGGAGAAAGCGAAGUUGGGGAGAUUAUGAGCAAAGCGGGAACAGGAAGGAAACCUGGGCUGCGGAAGGAGAAGAGAGCUGGCUCAUCUCGGCUACAAAUCCUGGCCUGCUCCGGCGCCUGCGUGCCAAACAAGAGGGAACAAGUGACAGGAAAGUGUUGCAUCUCCUCCGAUGGAGCUCCAAAGUUUAACUUCGCCUUCAGCUUCUCAACUUAUGCAACAAGCACAUUUCAGUGAAGGGUUUAUAAUUUAACCAGGGGGCCACAGACGAAGGAUUGGGGUCAGGGUAGCAGCGAACACCAAAACACUCCUACAACAAUCCUGCAGGACACGCCAACACACGCGUACACACCGAGGAGGUUCUGGAUGCUUCGGCUUCCGUGGUUAAAAA